rnacentral:lncRNA from 1 species
AACAUGGCGGCAGCCAAGCCUGACGACCUCUGCUUGGUGGUGCAUGGACCCAGAGACCUGCACUUGGAGUACUAUCCUAUCCCUGAACCAGGCCCAAAUGAGGUGCUACUGAAGAUACAUCCUGUCGGAAUUUGUAGUUCAGAUGUCCAUGGCCGGCAGCAUGGUCGAAUCAGAAAUUUUGUUGUGAAAAAGCCAAUGGUGCUAGGGCAUAAAGCUUUGAGAACAGUCAUAAAAGUGGAAUCAUCGGUCAAGCACUUAUAACCAGGUGAUCAUGUUGACAUUGAGCUUGGAGCUCCUUGAGAAACUUGAUGAACUCUGCAAGACUGGCCGAUACAAUCUGUCACCAACCAUCUUCUUCUGUGUCAUGCCGCCCGAUGAUGGGAACCUCUGCCAGUUCUACAAGCACAAGGCUAAUUUCUGCUACAAGUUUCCUGACAAUGUCACCUUUGAGGAAGGGGCCUUGGUUGAGCCACUGUCUGUGGGGAUUCAUGCCUGCCGGCAAACUGGAAACAAGGUCCUUGUGUGUGGAGCUGGGCCAGAUGGACUGGUCAGUUCCUCACAGCCAAGGCGAUGGGUGCAGCUCAAAUGGUGGUGACUGAUCUGUCAGCCUCUCGGUUGUCUAAAGCCAAGGAAGUUGGGGCUGAUUUCAUCCUCUGGACUCCAAUGAGAGCCCUCAGGAAAUAGCCAAGAAAGCAGAAGGUCUUCUGGGCAGCAAGCUGGAAGUCACCAUCAAGUGCACAGGAGCAGAGACCUCCAUCCAGGCAGAUAUCUACCAGACUCAUCCUGGUGGGCUGGUGCUGGUGGUGCUGGGCUCUGAGAUGACCAGUGGGCCCUUCGUGCAUGCAGCCACCUGGAAGGUGGAUAUCAAGGGCAUUUCGCUACUGCAAAAUGUGGCCAAUGGUUAUUUCAACACUUGCAUCCAAGUUUGUGAAUAUAAAGCCCUUGGUCACCCAUCGGUUUCCUAUGGUGAAAGCUCUGGGGGCUUUUGAAACCUCCAAAAAGGGUUUGGGGUUGAAAGUCAUGAUCAAGUAUGACCCCAAUGACCAGAAUCCAUGA